rnacentral:lncRNA from 1 species
ACCUCAAACUUCAAAUAACUAUUUUUAUAAGUCAUCAAAAUUUGAACUAUAGAUUUACUACCAAACUCACAAAAUUCUCCAAAACGUAAUAUCCUUUUCAUUUCACAAAUUUCAGAGUCACCCAAAACAACUGUGACUUUGCGAAGCUCUUACAAAGUCAUUACAUACUCAAUUCCCUCAAAAUCAAUGCUUAAAGAAAUCCUAUUAAGUCUAUUCUCAUAUUCUUCUCUCUGAUCUACCAAAAAAUCCUCAAAUUGCUAUAAGUAUCCAAAUUUGUGCCUUAAGAUCUGAUUUCGAUCCAAGUUAAUAAUUGAUCCUCUCUGGGUAUCAAAUUUUUUCUUUUUUUAGUUAAUUUUUAUUAAAAUCAACUUUUAACUUCUUUCUACAUAUGCUCAUAUACUUUAUUUUUCUAAUCUACCUUAUUUUACCUUAUUUAUGGCCUUACAAAGUUAGUACAAGCCUACUUUGUAAAAAAAUAGCAUUUAAAUCUUUAAUUCUACUUUCUUUUGGAUUAUUGUUUAUAGACUACUUAUAUUAUCCAUCCAUGUUCUAUAUCAAUUGGCAACCUUUCUUUCUUAUAAAGAUCCUUAGAUAUAAGAUUUAUCUUG